GCAGAAGAAGAGAGAGCAACAAACGCGGUUAAACGGAGAAGUUCCAGAAGAUAAGCGCUUCAAGUUGUCCAGCAGUGCCGAAUUUCCACCGUGCGGCAAUUGCGGCAGGGAUUUAUUUUUUGGAGCGGAAAAUAAACUUGUGAACACAUCCAAGACGAGGUGUGGAGCCAGUCCUCUUAACUGCCAUCCCUUUUACAUAGGUGUCCCAGACAAGGGGGUCAUCUGCCAGUGACAGAAUUUUUUUUUUUUUUUUUUUUUAUUCAUGGAUGCAAAAGAAUGCAAUUGUAUUAUUUAAUUGUAUCUAAUUAUUUUGUAAAGUCAAAUGUUUUUCUUUGUUUGCCUCUUCAUGGGCAAUAAAGUUUAAUCUCAAGGAACCCUGUUUGCUGUUAGGUGUUUUUCC